UCACUACUCCCUCCGUUCGGAAUUACUUGUCUCGGAAAUGGAUGUAUCUAGAACUAAAAUACGUCUAGAUACAUCCAUUUUCGCGACAAGUAAUUCCGAACGUAGGGAGUACAUA
rnacentral:pre_miRNA from 1 species